rnacentral:rRNA from 1 species
GACGAACGCUGGCGGCGUGCUUAACACAUGCAAGUCGAACGGAAAGGCCCUGCUUUUGUGGGGUGCUCGAGUGGCGAACGGGUGAGUAACACGUGAGUAACCUGCCCUUGACUUUGGGAUAACUUCAGGCAACUGGGGCUAAUACCGGAUAGGAGCUCCUGCUGCAUGGUGGGGGUUGGAAAGUUUCGGCGGUUGGGGGUGGACUCGCGGCUUAUCAGCUUGUUGGUGGGGUAGUGGCUUACCAAGGCAUUGACGGGUAGCCGGCCUGAGAGGGUGACCAGCCACAUUGGGACUGAGAUACGGCCCAGACUCCAACGGGAGGCAGCAGUGGGGAAUAUUGCACAAUGGGCGGAAGCCUGAUGCAGCAACGCCGCGUGCGGGAUGACGGCCAUCGGGUUGUAAACCGCAUUCGCCUGUGACGAAGCGUGAGUGACGGUAAUGGGUAAAGAAGCACCGGCUAACUACGUG